UGUUGAGUGAUGAUAAAAAAUCAAUCGGAUUCCCAUUGAUAUUUUCAUAUAUGAGAUUACAACCAGCUACUUCUGACAACA
rnacentral:snoRNA from 1 species